AACGAACGCUGGCGGCAUGCCUAACACAUGCAAGUCGAACGCCCCGCAAGGGGAGUGGCGAACGGGUGAGUAACGCGUGGGAACCUACCCAGCAGUUGGGGAUAACCGCGGGAAACUGCGGCUAAUACCGAAUACGUCCUAUGGGAGAAAGAUUUAUCGCUGUUGGAGGGGCCCGCGUCGGAUUAGCUAGUUGGUGAGGUAACGGCUCACCAAGGCUUCGAUCCGUAGCUGGUCUGAGAGGAUGAUCAGCCACACUGGGACUUAGACACGGCCCAGACUCCUACGGGAGGCAGCAGUGGGGAAUAUUGGACAAUGCGGGCAACCCUGAUCCAGCAAUGCCGCGUGAGUGAUGAAGGCCUUAGGGUUGUAAAGCUCUUUUGCCGGGGACGAUGAUGACGGUACCCGGAGAAUAAGCCCCGGCUAACUUCGUGCCAGCAGCCGCCGCCG
rnacentral:rRNA from 1 species